UACGUAUGGGGCAAGCGUUAUCCGGAGUUAUUGGGCGUAAAGAGUGCGUAGGUGGUUUCUUAAGCGUGGGGUUUAAGGCUACGGCUUAACCGUAGUCCGCCCCAUGAACUGGGAGACUUGAGUGCAGGUGAGGAAAGCGGAAUUCCUAGUGUAGCGGUGAAAUGCGCAGAUAUUAGGAGGAACACCGGUGGCGAAGGCGGCUUUCUGGACAGUAACUGACGCUGAGGCGCGAAAGCGUGGGGAGCAAACA
rnacentral:rRNA from 1 species